rnacentral:lncRNA from 1 species
AAAUUGGAUGGAAAGAAAUUCUGUAUGCUCCCAGGAUUCCAGUUACUUACAGGAGGUUUAUACCGUCUGAGUCUGAAAAGCUGCCCUCUUGCCGUGUUCAUGCUUUGGUAGAACACCUUCAGAGCCUUGGCAAGCUCUCGGUCAGAGCCGGCUUGCUCUGUGCACAUUUGGCUCAUCUCCCUGGCGGAUGGCAGUUGCGCAGUCAUCCCACUGAUCUUCAGAGUGUUGGAAGGCUUCUGGGCUGAGGUGGAAAAAGGUAACAUUGAUUUAUGUAUCUCUUUCUCUGGGCAUUUCUAUAUUUAUUUAUUUUGGUGGCAUUCUACUACAUCAGCAUUUAUCAGGCACCAGUUUGGAUCCAUCCAAAGGAAAGGGGAAAUCUCACAGGGCAGAAGAAAUGUCCAGCAUUUUUUGUUUAUGAAACAAGAUAUGAAUUAACUCACUUAAAAGUUUGUUUCUUAAAAGACAAAUACACAUCCCAAAUGUAAGAGUCUAGGGAUAAGCUAAACAGCCAAGACUGGAGCAGUCUCUCACCUUGACCAGAAGCAAUUUUCGCGAGUGAUGCUUUGAAAAGCACGUUCUCUUCUCUCAGGGCUGUGUUAAUGUUCCUGAGCAGUUCUGUCUUCUGCUCUAGCUUGAGCAGCUUCAGAUAAAGUUCUGGUAUCUGGUUUGAUGCUGCCUACGAGAAAACAUGUCAAUUUCGUCUUUUGUUGUAUCAUCUGCAUAUCCUUUGAGACUGGCAAUAUUUGCUACCAUGGGAAAAUCAAAUGGGAUGGGAGUGUGUGUAUGGUGAGCAGAGUUUAAGCCCCUGAGGGUACACAGGAGUUUUCAUGCAGUAGGCCAGCGACUGGAGCCAGAUGUGAGCUGAGCCCAAGCGGACGACCUCGACAGGAUCCCAGAAAGGGUCAUCUUCUUGAGCCACAAAGCCGUUAUCUCCAUCUAGAAAGCACUGCUAAAGUUCCUGCAUUAGGAAUUUCCUAUUGAUGAACUUGGCUUUUGACCAUAUCCACACCUGGAAACACAGAGGGGUUCACCAGUGCGCAGCAGAUACAGGAAAACAGCCUGCCGCUGUCUUCCUCCUCACUGGGUGAGAACAGGGCCUCUGUCAACACUGGCCCUGGAGAGGGGACACACCUGAAGCCACAGGAUGAGGGAUUCCAGCUGCCCUCUCCAGCUGGCAGAAGUCGUAAUCGAACCUGCUCAGGUCCUCACUGCCCCGCUCUGAAGGAAACCCCACGUACAGGUGAGGUCGGAGGAGUGAAGUGACUUGCCCAAGACCACACAGCGAGUCAGGAGCAGGCCUGUCCCUCCAGCAGCGGUGCCAUGUUGUCCCCGGGCUGUGGUGGCAGAGGAGCCGGUGUGAACGCCCCAUCCUGCCACGUCUGUGAUGUGGGCACCUCACAUGACUGUCCCCUCACAGCCCUUGGGGGGGACCUAGGACAUUCUGUGAGCCCACAGGAAAGUUUACCAAAUGCUGCAGCUUUGUCCUGGUGGUGAUGGGCACCCCGUUAACGGCAACCUUGCAUUUGCUGUGUGGAGUGACCGUCGCUUUACCGUCGGCAUUUGUGAAGGAAGCGUGUUUAUCUGAAAUUCUAAGAAGACCAGAGUCAGUCUAAGACACCCAGCAAAUGGCGGUUUUCGUGAGCAGGUAGGCUUAUCUUUCUCAUUUGCACAGGAGGGAAGAUCUACAGCUGAGGAGGAUGGCAGGUGGCCUCUCGGGCCUCCUGUGCACUGUGGCCCAUGAUGUAUGGGGACAGCAGCGGGCGCAGGAGGACCCUGCCCUUGGGGAGCACGAGGAGCUGGGAGACAGCAGGCAAGGGCAUUAACAGAACGAACACCAGCUGAGGGCCUAGCGCUGUGGGGAGCCGGCCAAGGCCACACUGGAGUCCUCCCGCUCCCAGACCAGUGGGAUGGGGUGGUGGGAAAAUGGCAGCAAGCAAGCUUCAGGAGAGACACUCAGGAGGCGACUCUUAACGAGCCUCACCUACUCCAGGGUUGGAGCCCAGGAAGCAAACCAGCACUGCACCCUGGAUUUCAGCCAGAGGACGAACGCCCUGCCCUCAGCUUUCUCAGACCAGCCCUGGAGUAAGUGGCCCGGGGAGACCUGGGCAGUGUCCCUGCUUGUCCUGCAGACUGUGUGGCUCUGUAGAUCCCUAGAUGGAGGAGUCACAAUUCUCUAAUGCUGGACGAGGACACUGAUUCAUGGAAGCUCACCCCAAACCUUGAAUCGUGAUAGCAUUUGAGGCAGCCUGACCAGCGUCACAUGAACCUGAAAAGAAUCAAGAUAUGAUUUAUUUUAAAAAUAAAUCAGACACUUUCAGAA